rnacentral:rRNA from 1 species
UACGGGGGGGGUAAGCGUUGUUCGGAAUUACUGGGCGUAAAGGGCUCGUAGGCGGCCAACUAAGUCAGACGUGAAAUCCCUCAGCUUAACUGGGGAACUGCGUCUGAUACUGGAUGGCUUGGAUUUGGGAGAGGAAUGCGGAAUUCCAGGUGUAGCGGUGAAAUGCGUAGAUAUCGGGAGGAACACCUGUGGCGAAAGCGGCGCACUGGACCAUAACUGACGCUGAGGCGCGAAAGCUAGGGGAGCAAACAGG